UGAGAAGCUCUGCCACCUGGAUAGGGGUCUCAGCAGGCAGCUGCCCAGGACACCAAUGCGGACAUGGCCAAGGGGGUAGCUAUUGGGAAAGUCCUCUUCCGGGUGUCUGAGAAGGUGGUGUGUGGGAGAAGAGUUUCAUAUUUGUCAUUGAAUUUGCCCAGAGAGCUGAACAAAGGACAUUGUUUUCUGCACAUGCCAUGAUGUGAGCAGCAUCGAGCAAGCACCGAGCCGCAUCCCACUCAGGGAAAGGGCCGAGUCUCAGUGGUGUCAAGACGCGACGCGGAGCUGUGACCCUCAGUGAGGCGCCCCAGCAGCGUCAGAGGCCAGUGUCCAUCAGCAAUUUGAGAACUGCUGUGCAACUUCUCAGUGGGACGCUAUGCCUUACUGAAAUACUCAACAGUGAUCUUAAUAGGUUACUAAAGGUCUCCAAUCCCA